GCCAGGUGUGGUAGCACAUGCCUGUAGUCCCAGCUACCCAGGAGGCUGAGGUGGGAGGAUCACCUGAGCCCAGGAGGUUGAGGCUGCAGUGAGCCAUGAUGGUGCCACUGUAUUCCAGCCUGGGCAACACGGUGAUACCCUCUCUCUC
rfam:Gorilla gorilla gorilla genomic chromosome, chr1, whole genome shotgun sequence